AUGAUUCUUUGUUUUUAUAGGAAUCGUCGUUCUUGUAACAAAACGAUCAUAAACUAUUUUUAUUUAACGGCAAAAUGCGUUGAUAAGGAAAAAAACAAAAACUUUUUUUUUAAAAACAGUGCAGCUAUAUGUUAUGAAAAACAAAGUAAUAAAAAAGAAAAAAUAAAUAAAAUUAGGAGCGAAAAAUACGUAGCACCAAAUUGUGGUAUAAACAAAAAAAAUUAUUUAAGUAACUACAAAAAUAUAGAGCUAAGUAGGCUUUUAAAAUUGUUAUUACAUGAUGGGAAUGUAGCAAAUGGAAGUAUAAAGGAAAACGUAGCAAAAAAUGAAAAACAAGAUACAGAUCAAUACACAAUCCAGGACGCAGGCCAAUACGUAAUUCAGGGUGCAAGUCAAAAAACAGCAAUAGAAAUGACAAAAACUAGUAAUGACAAAGUAGAAAAAAUAUUAGAACAUAUUUUUAAAAACAAUGUAAUUCAAAACCAUAUGACUUUUAUUCAGUUUAAUAUGCUACUAACAAUAAUAAAUAAAAGAAAAAUAAAAUUAAAAAAUGAAAUACUUAAUGUUAUAAUAAUGUUAUUAAAUAAAAACAUUUUAUUAUAUAAAAAAGAUAUAAACAAUACUAUUACAUCAUGGAUUAAUAUUAUAAACUUACUUUCAAGUAUUACCAAAAAUAAUAAAGCUUUAUUACAUUUGGUUCAUAAAAAAUGGAGAGUAUAUAAUGAAAGUGAUAAAGAUUUGAAGAUUCUUAAUUUAAGUUACAAAUUAAUUGAAAAAUGUAAUGAUAAAUUAAAAAUUGAAAACAAAUUAUAUUCUUCUUUUAUAGAAAAAUUUGUACAUCUAAUUAUAAAUACAAAUUACGAUUUUUGUAUAAGGGAAAUUUCGCUACUUUUACAUAGCUGUUAUAAUCUUAACAUAAAAAAUGCUAAUUUAUUUAAUCUUAUUUAUGAAAAAUUAAAUAAAAAUUAUUAUCAUUAUAAUGUUAUAGAUAUACAUAUUUUUGUAUAUUCAGUGUAUAAAUUACAAUUACAUAAAUAUAAUAUUUUUUUAGAAAAAUUAAAAAAAGAUAUACUACACAACAUUGACAACUUUUCAAACGGACAAUUAGUAAGCAUAUUAUUGGCUUAUACAAGUUUGGGUCUGGUUGAUAAAACAAGUAGUGUUAUAGGUAGUGACAGUAGUAGUGGUGGUAGUGAUAAACUUGUAUCACACGGAGGGAUAUUCAUAAACACAAUUUUUAACAAAUGUCUUAAACAAUUACACCUAUUUACAAACAGAGAACUUAGCAAUAUUUUACAUUUUAUAGUAAAAAAAAAUAUUUACUUAGAUAGCAAACAAAAACAUAAAAUAUGGAACAUAAUUUAUAACUUGAUACAAUAUAAAGGUUAUAACAAUUGGACGACCGAGAGUGAAAACGGGAGUGGAAGUGGGAGUGAAAACAACUCGACUAAGUACCAAUUGAAUAAGUACCAAUUGAAUAAGUACCAAUCGGAUAAGUACCAA
rnacentral:lncRNA from 1 species